CCUACGGGUGGCAGCAGUGAGGAAUAUUGGUCAAUGGGCGCGAGCCUGAACCAGCCAAGUAGCGUGAAGGAUGACUGCCCUACGGGUUGUAAACUUCGUUUAUAAAGGAAUAAAGUGAGGCACGUGUGCCUUUUUGGAUGUACUUUAUGAAUAAGGAUCGGCUAACUCCGUGCCAGCAGCCGCGGUAAUACGGAGGAUCCGAGCGUUAUACGGAGUGAUUGGGUUUAAAGGGAGCGUAGAUGGGUUGUUAAGUCAGUUGUGAAAGUUUUCGGCUCCACCGUAAAAUUGCAAUUGAUACUGGCAGUCUUUAGUUCCGUUGCGUUCGGCUGUUUUCGUGUUGUAGCGG
rnacentral:rRNA from 1 species